UGUACCUAAUAGAUAUCCUCUUUUAUUCUAGCACACUCCAUAAUUAAAUUCUACCAUGAAAGUUUCUCAAUAUAAUAGAUCUCAUUUAGCCAACAUACAAUUGUCUCAUACUCAACCUAGAGACUUUUUCAAGACUAUAGAAGAAAAGCAAAAGUACCUCCAUGUUUUCGAACUUAUUAAGCAAGAUCAAUGCCAGCUAGGCCAAGGGCCUCAAAAGUCAAAGGUAUGGUGGCUCCCAGCUAUUUCUUCCAUAUCAAACUUUAUAAAAAAUUUCCAGCGUCCAUAUUAAGAAACAACUAUACAUCUACUCCGUUAAAAUCAGUUGGCACUUUUACCAUCAGUUACAUCCCUAUAGGUGACAAA
rnacentral:misc_RNA from 1 species